GAUGAAGAACGUAGCGAAAUGCGAUAAGUAAUGUGAAUUGCAGAAUUCAGUGAAUCAUCGAAUCUUUGAACGCACAUUGCGCCCGCCAGUAUUCUGGCGGGCAUGCCUGUUCGAGCGUCAUUUCAACCAUCAAGCCCCAGGCUUGUGUUGGGGACCUGCGGCUGCCGCAGGCCCUGAAAACCAGUGGCGGGCUCGCUGUCACACCGGGCGUAGUAGAUUUUAUCUCGCUCAGGGCGUGCUGCGGGUUCCGGCCGUUAAACCCCUUUUUUACCCAAGGUUGACCUCGGAUCAGGUAGGAAGACCCGCUGAACUUAAGCAUAUCAAUAAGCGGAGGA
rnacentral:misc_RNA from 1 species